GAUGAACGCUGGCGGCGUGCCUAAUACAUGCAAGUAGAACGCUGAAGGAGGAGCUUGCUCUUCUGGAUGAGUUGCGAACGGGUGAGUAACGCGUAGGUAACCUGCCUGGUAGCGGGGGAUAACUAUUGGAAACGAUAGCUAAUACCGCAUGACAACAGUUAUUGCAUGAUAACUGUUUAAAAGGGGCAACUGCUCCACUACCAGAUGGACCUGCGUUGUAUUAGCUAGUUGGUGAGGUAACGGCUCACCAAGGCGACGAUACAUAGCCGACCUGAGAGGGUGAUCGGCCACACUGGGACUGAGACACGGCCCAGACGCCUACGGGAGGCAGCAGUAGGGAAUCUUCGGCAAUGGACGGAAGUCUGACCGAGCAACGCCGCGGGAGUGAAGAAGGUUUUCGGAUCGUAAAGCUCUGUUGUAAGAGAAGAACGAGUGUGAGAGUGGAAAGUUCACACUGUGACGGUAUCUUACCAGAAAGGGACGGCUAACUACGUG
rnacentral:rRNA from 1 species